GAUGAAGAACGUAGCGAAAUGCGAUAAGUAAUGUGAACUGCAGAAUUCAGUGAAUCAUCGAAUCUUUGAACGCAUCUUGCGCUCCUUGGUAUUCUGAGGAGCAUGCCUGUUUGAGUGUCAUUAAAUUCUCAACUACACUGACUUUGAAUUGGUGUGGCUUGGAUUUGGGGGGAAAAUUGUUGUGGGCUUUUUGUAUAGUCUGCUCCCCUGAAAUUGAUUAGCGGUACCUUUGUGGAACUGUCUACAGGUGUGAUAAUUAUCUACAUCUUAGACAUCUGCUGGAAUGCUGCUUUCUAAACCUUACUUGUAUUGACAAUCUUGACCUCAAAUCAGGUAGGACUACCCGCUGAACUUAAGCAUAUCAAUAAGCGGAGGA
rnacentral:misc_RNA from 1 species